UCCUUACGUGAGAGGUGAAAAAUGGAGUUGAGUUUCUGAGGUGGGGGGAGGCCGUCAGAGCUGCGAGUGCAUGGUGGAGGCUGCUGGUGACACUGCUGCUGUCCUCUGCAGGUACGUGCUCUACUCCCUGGACCUGUACAAUGACAGCGCCCACUACGCGCUCACCAGGUUCAACAAGCAGUUCCUCUACGACGAAAUCGAGGCCGAGGUGAAUCUAUGUUUUGACCAAUUUGUUUACAAGCUAGCAGACCAGAUAUUUGCCUAUUAUAAGGUUAUGGCAGGAAGUUUGCUUCUUGAUAAACGGUUACGAUCAGAAUGCAAGAAUCAGGGAGCCACGAUCCACCUCCCACCGUCUAACCGCUACGAAACGCUGCUGAAGCAGAGGCACGUGCAGCUCCUCGGCAGGUCAAUAGACCUCAAUCGUCUGAUCACCCAGCGCGUCUCAGCAGCCAUGUAUAAGUCCCUGGAACUGGCGAUUGGACGAUUUGAAAGUGAAGAUUUGACCUCCAUAGUU
rnacentral:sRNA from 1 species